GCGCGGGUAGCUCAGUGGUAGAGCGUUCGAUUGCAGCUCGAAGGGUCAUGUUCAAUCCGGUCCGCGCU
rnacentral:tRNA from 1 species